GGACCAGAGCAUAUUACAGUGUCUGACAUCGUGCUUGCAAGUUCACACACCUCUUUAAAGUUAUUUUUAGUGAUCUCCGACUGGCGAAGUCGGAUGAGUGAACAUAAGUUGAAUAAAUAUGUUCUAGGUAAUGUAUUUGUGUGGUAACAACGUAUGUUGGGUACACAAAACAUGGAUUUGUUUAAAUAAGAGGCAUUAUUAAUAUCAGGAUUUGUAUAUUUUCACAGUUAAAUAGCAACUUACAUAAAUGUAAGCCUUUAAAGUAGCUACAUAAAAUGCCUUUGAAAUAAAAGCAGCAAUCAGAGGCAUGUAUUUAUUUAUUUAGUCUGUUUUAAAAGACAACGUAAUUUAAUGUAAUGUGGUACAGUUCUUUUGUAGCAGUGUGGAAAUGUUUUUUAUUUAUGUGUUUGUAACUGUUAAUAUAAAAGAUAGGAAAUAAUAAAAUAUAAAAAAAAAAUAUAUGCAUUAAAAAUAUAUUUACCAAUAGGCUAUUAUCCAAAAACAGAAAAAUCACCAAGAGUUUGUUCGAUUUUAACUGCCACAAUAUAAAGUGAAAUGUGCAGUGGUUAACUGACGUGAAAUUCAAGACACGACUCAGCUGUAUAAUAGCAUGUUCCUAAGUCAUUUGAAAGCCCAUUGUUUUGAUGGCGAAAAACCAUUGUUAAAUCAGUCAUGAAGAGUAAAUGGAUUUGAAAAUGUGUGUAACAAUCUUUUUUAAAGUUUUACUAAAUUAAGUAUGGAUCUUAUUCAUUAAAGUGGAUUAUAUUUCUUUGUAUGCUUUAGGUGUAAAUAUCAGCUAUUAAUGCUAGAGAAGCCCAAAUGAUCGGUUAAUGUAAAUGUAAUUGCUGUCAUUAAGACUAUUAAGUGGUGGCGUUCUUCCUUAAGCACUUUUAUUUUUAUGUAUAGAGACAAAGGAAGUUUUUUUUUUUUUUUUUAAAGAAACAUUGUAAUAAUUGUUCAAUUAGUAAGGUUUAAAUAUGCUCACAAUAAGUGUCCCUUUAUGAAUAUAUAUAUCAGCCAAUAUGUGAAAUAUGACAAUGUUAAAAGACUUUAAAGUGUAUGGAAAUAACAAUGACACAAUAUGGCUGUACUUUAUAACUAAAAGAGCAAUAUUUAGAAAACGAAUAUGUGAAAAUUCAUUAUGUGAUUAGUAGGCUAAUAAUGAGUCAAUAGUUUUGCCUGUGAGUUUUGCAUUAUAGAACUUAUCUUAAUAAAGAUCUUAUUAUGGGUAUUUUUUGUGAAGAUUAAUUUGUAAUUGGAUGGUAGAAGUGUAAAAUAGUAUUAAUUACUUUAAUUUAAGAUUUUGAACUCAAAUAUUUAUGGUUUAAGUACAGGCAAAAUUGACUAUAAUUGUUGAAUGUUUUAUAUAUCUAUUUAUCUAUAUUGUAUUAUAUUUGUGUUUUAGUAUUUGUUGGUGUGUAUUAAAAAAAUAUUAUAGGACAAAAGUGCUUUCAAUAUAAGGUUAUAUAAGAAUAUGUUGUGUGUAUGAUUUAAUCAGUUAAAGUCAGUGACAGAAGUGUCUGUUGUUUUAUUUAUAGAAAUGUACAAGGUGCUGUAUAUUCAUUAUUAUCCUAAAAGUAAAAAAAUAAUAAAAAUAGGCUAUUUCUAAUUAUUUUUGUGGAACGUGGUCAAAUUUUUUUUCAAUGAUUUAUUUAAACUGUAUAUUUAUUUAUUAAAAUGAUAUACAAUAGUUAUUAAAUACAUAUUUAGUGAUCUAUAAAGAGUUGUGUUAGUAUUAUUUAAAUAAAAAAAAUCAGAGGUAGCUAUAUUUUUUAUAGAUUGGUGAGAGCUAUGGAAAUAAAUAAAUGGACUUUAAGCACUGAAACAUGCGAUUUUGUAGCUAUAAUGUAAAUAUGUUGAAUUUUGUGGUAAAAUCCUAUAUCUUGUUUAGUAAUGUGUUGUAUUGACAAGUCAAGUUAGUAGAUAUUUAUAAUAUUAUAGUGGCAUGAUUGGAUGUUUUUAAAUAAAGAUUUACAAAAACUAUGAUAGUGAAAGUGAAAGUCGUGACAUUUGCCUAGUUUGGUAGCCCAUACUAGGAAUUGGUCUGCAUUUAACUUAUCCAAGUACACACACACACACACAGUAGUGAGAAGGGAAGACACCAUGAACACAUACACAGAGCAGUGGGCAGCUAUAGAUCCUGCGCCCUGGGAGCAACUGAGGGGUUCAGCAGAACAGGUUAUUUUGCCAGGUGAGGGGGCGUGUUUCGGAGGGUAAGUGACGUCAAUGUAACCCUUUAUUUAAAGUGCUGAGUAUGACGGUUCUGGCACUCAGUUGGACUGUUUGUUGAAGUCUGUGUAAAAUGGAGAAAAGUGGUGAGAAGUAAUUUUUUUUUUAGAGUGGAACAAUGUUUUUAUUGUAUUUGUACCGACUGUAUUAAUCUUUAUUAUUGUAGUUGUUAAUCUUUAUAUUGUAUUUAUUUUGUUGGCACAGAAAGCAACAUGGUUGUUUCCAGGUUUGGGAAGAAAGACUUCGUUGUACCUAAAGGUCUGAAUGUUUGCUUCUUGACGGAUUCCAUGUGCCGUGGUUUGGACCAAUACUGUGAGGGCGCAUAUUGUUGGGUUCAUCCGGGCACUACUUUGGUCCGUUCAGCACAACAGCACGUUUAUCAUCUGAGAAGAGUAAACGGGGAUGCCUUGUUAAUCAUUUACAUUGGGACAAAUGAUGUCGCUAGUGGGGUUUCAGCGGAAACCGUCGUUAACCGAAUGGCAUUGCUUGUGGAACGCCUUCGUCACUCUUUUAAGUACAAACUGUAUUUCGCUAUUUGUUCUGUUUUGCCUCGUUAUGUUGAUGACAAGCAAACUAAACAUACAGUGAAGCGAUGCAAUAUAUUGUUGGAAAGAUGGUCUAGUGAGAUGGACAAUGUUGUUUUUUUGCGAACAUGGAGAGCCUUUGUGUCUGGAGGAUGUAUAUGUUCUGAAAUGUUCCGUCCAGAUGGACUUCACUUGAAUGUGAAAGGGAAAGAUCGUCUUUUUCAGUAUUUCAAACAUUUUUUGUGGAACUUUUGUAAUUAUAUUCUUUGCUUUCCAAGCUUGCAGCAAUAAAACUCUAUGGAAAUAAGCUUUUAAAA